rnacentral:rRNA from 1 species
AACGAACGCUGGCGGCAUGCCUAACACAUGCAAGUCGAACGAGAUCUUCGGGUCUAGUGGCGCACGGGUGCGUAACGCGUGGGAAUCUGCCCUUUGGUUCGGAAUAACAGUUGGAAACGACUGCUAAUACCGGAUGAUGACGAAAGUCCAAAGAUUUAUCGCCAGAGGAUGAGCCCGCGUAGGAUUAGCUAGUUGGUGUGGUAAAGGCGCACCAAGGCGACAAUCCUUAGCUGGUCUGAGAGGAUGAUCAGCCACACUGGGACGGGGACACGGCCCAGACGCCAACGGGAGGCAGCAGUGGGGAAUAUUGGACAAUGGGGGAAAGCCUGAUCCAGCGAUGCCGCGUGAGUGAUGAAGGCCUUAGGGUGGAAAAGCUCUUUUACCCGGGAUGAUAAUGACAGUACCGGGAGAAUAAGCUCCGGCUAACUCCGUGCCAGCAGCCGCCGUAA